AUAUACAAAUGUAAAAAUUCAAUCAAAAUGGAAAUAUUAAGAAUAGAAACUGCAAGUCUCCUAUAAUUCUUCACCUCCUACCUCCACCAUUAAUGUAAUGUUAAGAAAAUAAGAUCAGAAUAGUCAUACUUAACAUCUUGGAUGUCUUUUGUAUGAAUACAUGUAGAUCUACCUCCUUCUUUUUAAUAACUGUGUGAUAUUACAAAUAUGGAUAUAUCAUACUUUUAAAGACCUAAUAUAGGUGCUUUUAAACAAUGUGACCCAUGGGUAACUGUAUUCGUGAACCCCCAAUCUCUGCCAUCAGUCAUCAACAGCAAGUUUUGCCAUCACUCAGAGAGGCACACUCAGGGAGAAGCUGUGUGGCCCAGCAGAAGGGGCAAAGGAUCUGGGUCAGGCAGAUUGGGGCUGGGAUUCAGCCCAAGACACACCAGCUGUGUGAUCUUGGAAAGUGAUUAAACACUUUAUGUCUCAGUUGUCUAAUCCCUAACAAAGUGGGGGGGGGCAGAUAAUAAACCCUACCUCUUGAAAUUGUUGUAAGGGUUAGAAAUAAUGUAUGAAAGCAUCUAUCGCCCAGAAUGGUUGUUCAAUGAACAACAGCUAUUAUUCUAAGAAAGGAGCCUCCUCCCUGAAAUAGUUUAACUAUUUUUGGUUAUCCUCACUGUGGAUGCAACAGACAAAUACCCACAUGCACUUGGGAGUCUAAAAUAAUUUUCUGAAAUUAUUGAGCAGUUGUCCCCCAAAAGGUGAAAAGUAGGUCCAUCUAUGAAAGCAAACAGUCGAAACUCUCCAUUGUGUUAGUCCUAUGCAGAAGAUGGCAUAAACAUUUAACCUCCAUUUCAUGGGCAGAGGCUUGCAGACAGAGUGUGAGCAAUUUCUCAAAUAGGCUGGAAAAAGACAUCAUUCAUAGUAAGAUCUCAGUAGGCUGGAGUGACAGGCGGAAUUAAACAAGGUGAGCUUUAUUAAGGAAAAAUGUAAAAUUUAACCGUUUGGUUUCUUUCUUUUUUUGGUAUAAUAUGGAAUGGGAGAAAUGUGACUUAAUAGCAGGUAUGAAAAAGGCUUAGGGGUUUUAUGUAGCUGAAGUUCAAUGUGAAGUCAGGAUGUGAUCCAUCCAUCUGAGCAAGCAAAUGUAAUCUUAGCCCUCAUAAAGAGAAGCAGCAAAUUCAUAAUAAGGAAGGUGAUGCCUCCACUUACUUUGUCCACAUCAGAUCACCUGGUCUAACACUAAAAGGGCAAGUAACGGACAUAUAGGCUGAGGCUUUUUUUUUUUUUUUUGCAUGCCCAUGGCAAAUAAAAGCCAUUAAUCAUAUUGCAUGGAGCUCGGCUGUAACCUCUGAGUCUGUCUCAACAUAGUUUGUAAAGCAGCCAAUAUUUUUUGAGUGCAGUUGGCAUGCAAAAUGAAAUGUAUUGGUAGCCAGCGGACAGCAGGCUACUCCUGUGAUCUUCUAGGGGGCAGCCCAUACUUCUAUCAUAUGGUCCAACCUUUUACCAACCACAACAGAUUGGAUAUGGACCCAAGGGCUGCCAAUCUGCAGGCUGCAUUGAAGAGCUUUAUCCAAACUGUAAUGAGCUCGCCCAAUCUGACGAUUUCUUUGGGGAAUUUGAACUUAGGGGGUAGGUGGGUGGGGAGAACAAAGCAGGCAGCUGGUGACAGUCCCAGAAGCUCAAAUGUUCAUGGAGAGAGGCAGUGCUAGAGGCCAAGAGGGGGCAUAAGGAACAGAAGAAAACAGAAGCAAGAAUGAGGAAGCAGAAGCUAUGAGGUGGAGACAAUCUACAAGGGGAGAGGAGAUAAAGAAGAAGUGGCAGCUGCAGGAACAGUGGAAGAAGAGGCAGAGAGCUAGACAAAAUGGGGAGACAGAUUUCAGGGCAACAGAAAGGAGACUUUGCAAGCAGUUUCCUGCCUGGGGCGGGGAGAGCCAGCCGCCCGAGCUCCUGAGCCCUGUUAUUUAAAAUUCAGCCGUCACCAUGGCAACCUGCAUCCUGCUCCAUUUCAACCAGAGAUACAAAGAAGCAGUGAAAGGGAAAGUUUAAUAAGAUUUUUUUUUUAAUUUUUUAUGAAUCUCACUGACAGUGUCCAUCUUUUUGGGAAAUAGAAAUGUUCCAUUUUAGUGGCAUUAUCAAAAUGCCAUUCAUUUUAUGCCCCUUGGCUUCUGGAAGGUCAGCGUCACAACUUGCUUUCUAUGGGCUGCUAACGUCACCCCUUCUCUCCCUUUAGAGCGGGUGAGGGUCUUAUUUGGCCUUUAGGCUUUUUCAAAGGGUUUGGAGUUGGGCUCACUCUAGGGCAUGUCUAGGGCAUGUCUCCCAUCCCACUUCCCUGGCAUCGCAUCAGAGUGAUGUCAGGGCACUCGAAGCUGCAAACGUCUUUCAAGAUCCCUUCCUCUGCAGUGCCAUUUCUGUGUUUGUCUGUCUAGCAACUGUACCCGCACAUUCUGAGAGUGUUUCCCCGAUCACCUUCUGGGGUGGUGGGCUUCUGGCUGUAUCAAUCGUGUGAUUCUGGUGGGGCCCAGAAUUUCACCUGACUACAGCGAUGAGCACCAGUGGGGGCAGUCUUGGGACUUUUGUCUGAUAACUGUUGAGAGAAAGUCCCUCUAUUUUUCUGCCAAGGGGCGGAAAGCCUGGAGCUGCUGGAGACCCCCAUAUAUAGGGAACCUGCCCACAGGGGGAGCGACGCUGAGGGAAGCAGAGCUGAAGGAUGGAGAAGAGAAACCAGGCUGAGAUGAUGUUGCUCAAUAUCCUGGAUUGAGUCAACCUUGAAUCCAUAGCUUUUCAGUUUCAUGAGCAAUAUAUAUCCCCUUUUUACUCCCCUUAAGGCAGUUUAAGUUGGGUUUUCUGACACCUGAAAAACCAGUGACUUUGAUGUUACAUACCCCAAGAUCCUUAUUUUACAAAUGGGACAGUGGAGAGCCCCUGCAGGGAGGCAUUAUCCAAGGUCACACAGAGAGGCGGCUCCGAAGGUCAGUUCUCCUGAUGUCCUCACAGACUCUUAACCUGCUUGGCCUUCAGUUCUCAGGCAGAUUUUCCUACUACAGCAGAGACAAAAGCUGAGCCUGUGGAGGCUGAUCGUCAAAAAGUGUAAUUAUGGUAGCACCGGACUAGCUACCCGCCCCAAGGACGAUGGUGAGCAUUUGGGGUGAUAUUCAAGGGUCUCCACCUUCAGAAGAUCUUUGUGUCUUUUAUAGACUAGGAGGGUCCUGAGACAGAGCAAGAAGGGUACUAAUCACACAGUCUGCCGGGCACAGCCCCAAAGCCCUGAAAUGUGGUUCUCCUUUCUCCAUUGACAUGAGAUCUGUUUUUUUUUUUUUAAUCCUGUAAACAGAUGUAACUCAGUCAUUCAACCAACACUUAUGAUUUUAUUAAUUCCGUUGAAAAGUAUUAAUUGAAGGCCUCCUAUGUACGAAUUGCUGUUUUAAGGACAUAGGUUGAGUAGUCAACAAAGUAGCCUCAGUGCCUGUGUUCAGGUUACUGACUCUUCAGACUGGGCAUGAAAUAAUCAGAGAUACACAGAAUCAGGGACCAUGAAAUAAAGUACCUGCUGCCAUGAGAGCUUAUGAUGAAGGCACAUUUCCAGAGGGGAUGGGAGGGAAGCUGAACUGAGAUAAGCAGAAGGGGCAGGAGUCAGUUAAGCAAAGAGUGGGGAUCCGUGCUAUGAACAUUCAGCAAGGCUUGGGAAGAGCUAGGGGCAGGACUCUGAAUUCAUUCAUGUUAGUGAUUGCUGGGGGGGGGGUACCAUACGCCAUUGUCCCCCUCUUUUGCUAUUUAAGGUCCUCUAUUCCUGCCUCCCUGGGAUCCUCAGAGCCCCGGUGGUCUCACGAGUCCCUGAGUCAGUUACAUAAUCUGUUUUCAACCCAGGAUCCUUGGUGUUCUGGCCUCACCUCUCCGCAGGUUCAAAUCUGCUGCGGGCCAACGUCUAGUUCGUCGUGUUUUUGUGUGUGAGGUUAAAAAAUGUCCCCAUAACCAGGCCUGCCUUUUUUUUUAGAGAAGGAUGAGGGUUGCCUCCAUCUCUUUUCACCCAAUUUCCCUUCCUUUCGUUUGUCUGGUGAAUGUGACUGCAGCAAAGUUUGCUGUCACUAGGGGGCAGGAGCGCCAAGGCAAACGACUAAGGCCCGCGAGAAGGCGGCCGAAGCCGGCAGGUAACAUGCGCAGUCGGACAGGGUUUGCGCUGGUGCGGGACGCCUCAAGUUCCCAAGCUCUAGCUUCGCGUGUGUCCAUUCAGAUACACCGAGCGUACUUAAAAUGGUAAUUCCAUGCUAGCGCCAGAAAAGAAAUUUUUAAAGGGGGCUUUUGGUGAGGGUGGUUCCUAUUGUCGGUAAAACAAAGGAAUGGGGGUCUUGGAUUAAAAAAUAAUCUUUAGGAGUCCUUUCAAAUGUACAGAGGAGCCAGAGGGCUCCAUCCCUAGUUCCCAGUGUGCUGUGUGACCUUGUUUAAGAGACAUGAACCCUCUGGACCUAAAUUGUUCUUUCGUUAAAGGAUGGCACGAUGUGAAAAGUCCCUUUUGAUUCCAAGUGGUGAAGAUGAAACCAGGGAACGGCUCCCCGCCCCUCUUAGAUGCCCACUGGUAUAAUUUCUAACUUUGGGGGCUCAUUCAUAUGAGGGAGUUUUGUUUUCUGACUCAUACCUCCUUUCAUUUUAGCAGGUGAAUAUACCUUAACACAAAGAAAUGAAGAGCUAUGGGUGGAGUUUUGGCAAGUGGAGAGAGAGAUACUCUUGGCUCUUUCAAAUCACACCAGGACAGUCAGAAUCCACUUUGCCUUUGAUGGGGAGGAGGCAAUGGAUCUGCUAUGGGGACUGGAUGAAUAUCUGUAAGAAGCAGACCUCUCUCUGAAACUCACGUCAAACUCUCCAUUAUCCUGGAAUCCAGAGCCUUAUUGGACCAGCUGAGACUGCCAGCUUGAGAACAGCAUGGAAACAGAACUGCGCUUGGAGUGAUGAGUGAUCUCUAAGGACCUUUCUGCCCUGUCGUUGUAGAAUUAUAAGAUUUAUGCCCAGACAAGACCAUCUCAGGGAGACUGGGUCUCACCAAGAGGUGGAGUUUUUGUCUAAAGCCGCAGUCUUGUUCUAAGAAGGGCCCUACCAGACUGGGUCCCUAAGGACCUGUGUUCCUGUCUACACUCCCCCUGCUGCUCAGGCUUGGGGACGAUGGUGGAUUGGGUUCUCUUUCCAUGUGCUCUGCUAUCAUACAUCACGGAGACAAAAAACCAAAGCAAAUCAAAACAUGUGACAACAAAAGCCCUUUAUAAAAACCUCCUUUCUCUGGUAGCAUCAGUUUCUGGGAUUUCACACACCAUAUUCCCAAAAUACAGAGUGGAAGGGGUCAGCAGGGGUGAGGUGAGGCUCUGCUUGGACUCUCCUUCUUCUUUGGGGAGUGCCCUCCGGUGAUCACUGUUUCCCAUCCCUCUGCUGCCUUAUUGACAAUAGACGGCUUCAUGAGGUUGCCGCCAUUCUCACAUAACAAGAUGUUAUCAAUACUUUCAAUUUCAAUUAA